rnacentral:rRNA from 1 species
CGCGUAGGCGGAUUGUCGGGUCUGAUGUGAAAGCCCGGGGCUCAACCCCCGGAAGUGCAUUGGAAACUGGCGGUCUUGAGUUCGGGAGAGGAGGGCAGAAUUCCCGGUGUAGGGGUGAAAUCCGUAGAGAUCGGGAGGAAAACCAGUGGCGAAGGCGGCCCUCUGGAACGUAACUGACGCUAAGGCGCGAAAGCGUGGGGAGCAAACA